AGGUGGGCCAGAAGUAGCCAAUUCAUAGGAAGUCCAUUGAUACAUUUGGGCAGAGAACAUCACAAUAUAGAGGUGUUACAAGUCUCUUGCAGUGGAUCAUGGCGAACCUGGUGAAGCAUCAGGAUGUGCAGGCCAAGCUGGUGGAAGAGAUCGAUCAGGUUGUGGGGGAUGGACAAGAAGACAUUGAAGAGGAGGAUUUGCAGUGGAUGUCAUAUCUGAAGGCAGUGAUCAUUCUAGAAAAGAGCAAGGAAUCGUUGGAUUAUAGAAGCCUGGAAAUGAAAUGUUGAAUUGAAAUUGGAAAUUGGAAUUGAAAUUGAAAUGUGUACUAGAAAAGAAGGAAAAGAUUGUGUGAAUCAUUUUAUUAUCUUUUUCUUUUAUUUGUGUAAUUAUCUGGCAUAUAAUACAAGUAGAUUACAUACCC